UACGGAGGGGGCUAGCGUUGUUCGGAAUUACUGGGCGUAAAGCGUACGUAGGCGGCUUUGUAAGUUAGAGGUGAAAGCCCGGGGCUUAACCCCGGAAUUGCCUUUAAGACUGCAUCGCUUGAAUCAUGGAGAGGUGAGUGGAAUUCCGAGUGUAGAGGUGAAAUUCGUAGAUAUUCGGAAGAACACCAGUGGCGAAGGCGACUCACUGGACAUGUAUUGGCGCUGAGGUACGAAAGCGUGGGGAGCAAACAGG
rnacentral:rRNA from 1 species